rnacentral:rRNA from 1 species
CCUACGGGUGGCAGCAGUGGGGAAUAUUGGACAAUGGGCGCAAGCCUGACCCAGCGACGCCGCGUGAGGGAAGAAGGCUUUCGGGUUGUAAAGCUCUUUUGGCAGGGAAGAGUAGAAGACGGUACCUGACGAAUAAGCCACGGCUAACUACGUGCCAGCAGCCGCGGUAAUACGGAGGUGGGAAGCGUUGUCCGGAUUUACUGGGUGUAAAGGGCGUGGGGCCGGGUAGACAAGUCAGGUGGUAAAUCCUGCGGCCUAACCGCAGAACUGCAUUUGAAACUGUUGGUCUUGAGUACUGGAGAGGCAGGUGGAAUUCCUAGUGUAGCGGUGAAAUGCGUAGAUAUUAGGAGGAACACCAGUGGCGAAGGCGGUCUACUGGACAGCAACUGACGGUGAGGCGCGAAAGCGUGGGGAGCAAACAGGAUUAGAUACCCCAGUAGUC